GUCGCUUUCUCUCUGUUGGCGCCAACAAGACAGGGCUUCUACUUGAGGACCGCCGAAAGCUAGCCAUGGCUCGGAUUGGGCUACUUGCUUCCUGUUUUUCCUCUGCUUCCUAGCAGGAGGUAAGCCCAACCAAUGUUGUGGCUCUGUAAGGGUUAACCGAUGCCUGUUUUAAACUCUUUUCCAUGGCUUAUAUUGUACCGUUUUAUGUUGUGUUCCGGUAAACUGGUUUGAUGUAUUUUUUAAUGACAUAAUGGGAUAUAAGUAUUUUUAUAUUUAAAUAAUAAAUUAGAGGUAAAGGUAAAGGACCCCUGGACGUUAAGUCCAGUCAAAGGCAACUAUGGGGUUGUGGCGCUCAUCUUGCUUUCAGACCGAGGGAGCCGGCGUUUGUCCACAAACAGCUUUCUGGGUCAUGUGGCCAGCAGGACUAAACCUCUUCUGGCACAACGGAACACUGUGAUGGAAACCAGAGCGCACGGAAAUGCUGUUUACCUUCCUGCCACAGCAGUACCUAUUUAUCUACUUGCACUGGAGUGCUUUCGAACUGCUAGGUUAGCAGGAGCUGGGACAGAGGAAUGGGAGCUCACUCCGUUGCAGGGAUUCGAACCACCAACCUUCCAGUUGGCAAGCCCAAGAGGCUCAGUGGUUUAGACCACAGCGCCACCCGCGUCCCUGGUGAUGCUGGUCCUCAUUUUCAGUGUUGGAGAUAGUAUGCCCCCUGGAUACCUGUUUGCUAGGAGUCACAGGUAGGGAGAAAGCCAACGCUCUCUGAUCGUGCUUGGGGGCUUGCCAUAGGCAUCCCAUAGGCCACUGUGAGAAAAGGAUGGUUCUCUGGAUAGAAACAUGGAAGGACAGCUCAGUUGGUUAGAGCGUGGUGCUGAUAACACCAAGGUCGCAGGUUGGAUCCCCUUAAGGGGCAUUUGCACAUUCCUGCAUUGCAGGGGGUUGGACUAGAUCAGGCACCCCCAACCUGCGGCCCUCCAGAUGUUUUGGCCUACAACUCCCAUGAUCCCUAGCUAACAGGACCAGUGGUCAGGGGUGAUGGGAAUUGUAGUCCAAAACAUCUGGAGGGCCGAAGGUUGGGGAUGCCUGGACUAGAUGAUCCUCAGGAUUCUUUCCAACUCUAUGAUUCUGUGACUUUUUCCUCUUCUCUUUUUUUUAAAAAAAUUAUUUUUAUUCAAUUUUUCCAAUACAAAAUUUAUACAAUUCAUACAUCUUUUUUUUAUAAAUCCAUUCCCAAUUUGACUUCCGUCAACUUGACUGAUACUCCUUCCCUUCUUAAUUUCUUACACAUUUCUAAAUCCUUACUUCCAUUAUUUUUAUAGAUUAAAUCUUAUCUUACUCACAUUCUAACAUUUCUUCUUACAGAGCUUCAUUAAAGCUUACAAGCGUUAUUUGAUUAUCACUUAAUUUAUGCAUAUACUCUGUAAAUUUUUCCCAGUCUUCUAUAAAUCUCUGAUCUCGUCAAUUUCGGAUCCUUCCCAUCAGUCUAUCAAGUUCUGCAUAGUCCGUCAUCUUCAUUCUCCAUUCGUCUAGUGUAGGUAGCUCCUCUUGCUUCCAUUUCUGAGCCAUCAAUAUCGACUUUUUCCUCUUCUCAAUUAAGAUGGGAAAUCAAUAGGAAAUGGGUCUGGAAGGGAAGGGAAUAGGGUAUGAACUAAUGAACAUGCAAGAAGUACGGUAAGUACAGUGGUACCUCGGGUUAAGUACUUAAUUCGUUCCGGAGGUCCGUUCUUAACCGGAAACUGUUCUUAACCUGAAGCACCACUUUAGCUAAUGGGGCCUCCUGCUGCUGCUGCGCUGCUAGAGCACGAUUUCUGUUCUCAUCCUGAAGGUCUUAACCUGAAGCACUAUUUCUGGGUUAGCGGAGCCUGUAACCUGAAGCGUAUGUAACCUGAAGCGUAUGUAACCCUAGGUAUCACUGUAAUUAUGGAUUAUUAUUACCUUACUAAGGGAACUUCUUGGAGAUAAAAUCGAAUACACUGGGCCGGAGGAAGAAUAUUCUGAGUCUCUAGUGAUAACAACAAUUGAAGAGCACUUUUUGGACCUUUUGCGUGGAAAGGAAAACGAACAAAUUUGGAGACUGAAGAUUGAGGAAGCACCGCCUAACAGAUUGAGGAAUACCCGGACCUUGUCUUGGAGUUCUGAAUGCUUUGAAUAAUCUGAAUAUACAUA
rnacentral:lncRNA from 1 species